rnacentral:sRNA from 1 species
AUGAAGACUAUCUCAUUGAAAAGUAGAACAAAUGCAUUUAUUGAGGAUAUACGGACCGGUUUACAUCUAGUUAUUUUCGGUAAUGUUAGGGAAAAUACCAAAAAAAUAUAUCAAUUAUUUUUAAUUUAUACGUUUAAUAUUCAAUUAUUUUUUGUUGAAAGAUUAAUACAUAAAGUAAUAAAACUGUGUAAUUUAAUAUCCAAACCAUUAACUGUUGUUAUUUUCAUUCUCACGAUCUUACAACAAAAAUAAAAUUUCAAUUUUACCUUUACCAUCUCAAUUUUUUCUAGAGGUGGAUCUAUCAGUCCAACCGUCUAUGUCUCUCCAGGGAAUUCACGAAUCGAUCGAUCCAGAGGUGGAUCGAUCGAUCCCACCGUAUAUGUCUGAAACGUUGAAGUACGGACCGAUCGGUCCAACCGUCUAUGGCCGAUUUGUUGUAGCCUGGACCAAUCGGUUUACCCCGUCUUCUCUCCGCUUCAGCUUUUCUCGUUCUUUCUCGACCCGAAUAAACUCAAAACUAUCUAAUCCAUUCACAAGUACCUAAAACCUGCAAAAGACUCAAGACUUGAUCAAAAAGACGUAAAAACGGACUACGACAUGAUAAAUGACUCAAAACGAAGGUUAGACAAGAGAUCUAAGACACCAAAAACGCAACAUAUCAAUAGUCUUAUCACUUAUGUUACCAUGAAAUAAACAUAUAAUGUAGUUACAAACUUACAAUGUUUUUUAGAUGAUUACUAAUGUACUGGAAUUUGUAUAUCACAAUUCUUUUAAGUUAUUCAAGGCACUAGUGGAGAAAGAUUCAAGGCACUAUUGGAGAAUGCUUUUCUCUCAAAUUUGGCUCAUUUUAUAUUGACAAUGGAGGCAAGUAUCUAGCACUGGCAAACUUCCUUGCAUAUCACGGCAUCAACCAUUACA